AGUUUGCUGCCUUUUUGCUCUCUGCCUUGUGAGGAUACACGGAGAAGAUGGUCAUGUGCAAACCAAGAAGAGGCCCCCCGACCAGACACCGGAUCUGCCAGCACCUUGAUCUUGGACCUUCCGGUCUCUGGAACUGUGAGAAAUAAAUGUCUGUUGUUUAAGCCUCCCAACCUAUGGUAAUUUGUUAUUGCAACCUGAAAUGAUAAAGACACCAAGCUAAGUCCUAAGAGAUUCGGCACACAGGGACCCCAGGCUAAUAGCUGAAGCUCUGCUUGGGCCUGAGCUGCUUCCUUGGACCUCUUUCUACUUUUCUACUGAUAAACUGGCUUGGGCAACACCAACAGCGACCAGUGGAAACCAGCAUUCCAGGAGCUAUGCCAGGCAAUCGGAAAACAAAGAUUAGUAAUAUAAUACUCCAUGGUUGUGAGACACUCACCAGACCCCCAUUCUAAAGAAGUACAGGUGGAUGACAUCAGGACUUUUGAGGUUGGUCACAGGCACCAAAGUGUUCGGUAAAGCCAGGCACCCUUGAGGCUUGCGGAUGGGUGCCGAGUGGGGAGCCUGUGAGCAUCACUGCGACGCUGACCCGUUCCCCCUCCUCUCACUGCUCGGGCUGCCAGCUCUGACCAAGCGCGUUCUGCUGGCUGCGUACUGUGCGCUCCGGCUUUACGUGGAUGAUUCUUUGAAUCAUCACAGCCACUCUGGGAGGAAAUACAACCACUGUUCUACAGAUGAGGAAAUUGAAGCUUAGAGAGAUAAAGUAACCUGUUCCAGCCAGCACGGUAUAGCCAGGAUAGGGAUCCCAGCAGCCCGACUCCAGAACUCUGUUUUUAACUGUGACGUUGCAGUUUAUAAAAUGAUAAGAGUUCACAAGUUUAAGAAAGGAUAGAUAGCUAAAGCUAAAGGAGCAGGCUGCCUCCUGCCAUCUAUGCAAUUGGGAGGCUCUGACGUGGUAGAGGGAGAAAACUGGAAGACACGUCCAUUUGAACAGGGAGCAUGAGAGCCCAUUGAUUUGAGUUGGCCUUGGCCGAGGGCUGUGUUGUAAGGCCCAUGGCGGCUGUGCUUUAUGAACUAUAAAAACAGCCAAUACUCUGCUGCUCACCAGCCCCUGCCUCCCAGAUGCUUGAAGGUAAUUUUCAUUACUCCAGGACCACAGGAACUAUCACUACAAGGAGGGGGGGAAGACAUGCCCUGGCCAGGUGUGAUUCUUCCUCUUCCGAUGUUUUCUCCUUUCCUUGGAAGCUGAGAGAAUCUCUGCCAGGUCUCUGUCCUCAGCUCUUGUGCAUCUGGGCCAACUGAAAGGGGCCAUGCUAACACACAGCCUUUAUGGCUACGGGAGACUGGGUCAGGGAUCCGGCCGCCCAGGCCCGUCAGUACAGACAGAAAAGCAACGGCCUUUGUGUUUGCUCUUCUGUUUGCCGCUUCUUGUUAUCCAGCACUCAGUAUAAAUGUUACCUCCUCCUCCAGGCUUUCUCCGAGCAGCCGAUCUUACACAUGCCCCUCCAAUGUCAUCUCAACUAUCUAAUUUCUUUCAGAGAAAGCACUUCUACUCUCUGAAGUCACUAGUAUUAAUCGCUAUAAUGAUAUAUCACUAGUUACGAUGUAUACUACUUACACCAUGAGUCAUAAUAAUAUAACUCAUUGUAUAUAAUGACAUUACUAAUGAUUACUAGUUCUUACUAGUUCUUACUCAUUCUUUCAGGAAGGAAUCUUUUCUCUUGUUCAACACCAUGUCCUCAGCUUCUUGCCUGGCAUACAGAGGGUAGUCAUCAAUUUGGUCAGAUGGAGAAAUGAUGAAUUGCAUUAUUUUCUUUGAAUAGGACUAGCAAAAACUGCCUGUAAAAUACGAGAGUGGACAGUUUAGACAGAAAGUUUGAGUAAACAUUUGCCUUUACAAUGUAGUCCAGAAAGUGGAAAGUUUCUUUCCUCCAACUGACUAAGAGGUGUGCUGUUAGGUAUGGCUAGUCAACUUUCUUUUAUUACUUCUGAGCAAGGGACUCUGCAUUCUUUCCACCUGCUCCCCAUUCUGCCAAAGAAAAAAUGAAAAACUCCUUCUGAGCUAGUGGUUCUGUUUUCUGCAGUUGUCUUGAACUUUCUUUGUGUUAUGUGUAUGCACGGGCAUGGACACACACAUGCUCUGCCAUCCAAGAUGCUCUCCGUGCUAGGGGGUGCUUCCAUCUGUCCUACUGCACAGUGAGCCUCAUGGAAGAAUGUUAGUAACAUGAGCCAGAUGCCGGUCAAGGGGGGGCAUGAACAUUGCCAGGUGACCCCUUACCAGUACGGGCUCCUAGUGCUUGCUUGCCAGACACCACCCAGUCAUGAGGAAAAUGCAGAUGUCAAACCAGAAGAACAAAAAUAAGAUAAACUUCCUUUUGCACCACAGAAUGAAGUUCAUGGUACAAUUUAGUGGCAUUUUCCCCUGUCUCCAUUGCUAGUGCUACCAGGGGAACUAACCCAUGAAGAAACACCAGGUUUCAGGCUUCCAACUGGUGCGUCAGAUAAACCAUCCAUUAUUCACUGUGGACCUGCUGUGCUCAGCUUCAAUGUUAGUUGCUAUAGGGGAUACGGGUGACAUGGACUUGUAUUCUAGGAUUUUAUAUUCUGAGAGGGGAUAUUCCAACUCUAUUUAACAGAAUAUAAUUUAGUCUAAGUUGACUUUCAGGAAACAUUGUAUUGUUAAAGCAUCAUUUCAGGUUUGUAAAUCUUAUGUCCGAAAAAAGAUUGUAAAUAUCAUGUUUAGUGUGAUGUAUGCCUAUAUUUUUAGUGAUAGCAACUUCUAUAGAACUGGAUACAUAACCAAUACUUAUGGGAAAAAAUGGUGGUUUGAAUGUUAUGGAGCCCUGCAGAAGCUGGUCUAGUUUGCUAUUUUGCUAAUUGAAAGGAACAGGAGGUGAGACAAAAUUUCUGUUCUAAUCCCAGGGCACAUUUCAAGAGAUAGAGUCAUAUGAACCAUCCCCAGAAGCACCGCUGAAUUGCUGGACAUUGGCUUUGAACAGACCCAGAAAGUUUCAAGGGGUCCGUCGAAAACUGUCCAAGUCACAUCUGUGAGACCAAAUAGUGCUUUGACACUUGGUAUCCUGGGCUCUCUAAUUAGUUAUACUAUUGCCAAACUCCCAGGAGCCCUAGCUCCGUCAGAGGCCUGGGAAGCUCUGCAUGGCCUCAGCACCAUUGUCUGCCUGCUUUUGUUGUUGGAAUGUCUGCUCUUUUACUGAGUUUAAGUUUGCCCUUCUGUUGUUCAAUUCCCUUUUCUGACCAGCUGCCCUGAACCUCAUUCAAAGGCCAUGUGCGUGUUUUUGAAACUUGGCCAUUUAAUUCACAGGAGAGCCUUGGGAAACUUUUAGGUUUCAGUUUGUGCAGGGUCACAUUGCUUUGAGUUGCAGCUUCCAAUUGAUGUUAUAAAAGACUCAAAAAGGGACUCCAGCUGCACCUUCUGAGUUUCACCAGGUGUGUUAGCAGAAGCCAGCAAGAAAAGGAAGCAGACGGGUUGGAAUCAUAUAGCAGUAUUUCAAAAGGAUUUGCUGUACCUGUUAUAUGGUAUUUUGUAGAUGGUUAUUACUGUUCAUCACAAUAAACUGAAAAUAUAAGAAGAGAAGAAUAAAA